rnacentral:rRNA from 1 species
AGAGAGAGACAUGCGUGCAUAUCAAUAAGCGGAGGAAAAGAAACUAACUAAGGAUUCCCUCAGUAACGGCGAGUGAAGCGGGAAGAGCUCAAAUUUGAAAUCUUCAAGGGUUCUACCUUUACGAAUUGUAGUUUAAAGAAGUGUUUUCUGUUGGAGGUUUUGGUAAAAGUUCUUUGGAAUAGGACAUCAUAGAGGGUGAGAAUCCCGUAUUAGACCAUUAUUUCCAGCUUUGUGAUACACUUUCAAAGAGUCGGAUUGUUUGGGAAUGCAGUCCAAAAUGGGUGGUAAAUUUCAUCUAAAGCUAAAUAUUGGCGAGAGACCGAUAGCGAACAAGUACCGUGAGGGAAAGAUGAAAAGAACUUUGAAAAGAGAGUUAAACAGUACGUGAAAUUGUCAAAAGGGAAGCGUUUGACACCAGUGUUGUUUUCUCGAAAAUCAAUUAAAAAAGGCAGGAUUUUGUGUUGUAUUGACUUUAUCAGCUUUCUGCACUCUUUUCUUGUCUUUUUUAAUGCACUUUUCGUUUAACAAGUCAACAUCAAUUUCUUUUGUUGUAAAAGGGUCAUUGGAAGGUGGCUUUCUUUUCGGAGAAAGUGUUUAUAGCCUUUGGCCUCUGCAAUCGGAGAGAUUGAGGUCUGCAGCGUAGAUCCUUCGGGGUUAGAUACAUUUGUGCUAAGUUAUAGCCUUUUCAUAGACAACUUGUUGACUAUGAUCAGUCAUGUAGCUUACUCGCUUAGUGCUAUUUUACCUACGCUUAGGAUGUUGAUGUGAUACUGCGAGCA